GGGUGAGGGUGAUCUGGCCGUGACAUCUGUCAUCCCAUUGAACACCAGGGUUGAUUUGGCUGAUCUGGCUGGCUAGACAGGUGUCUCCUUCCUCCCUCACUGCUCCAUGUCCCUCCCGAAGCUGCGCACUCGGUGGAAGAGGAUGACGUCCCAGGUAUAGAAGGAGUGUACCAAGGUUUCCAGUCUUUGGUCCCGGGUAUAAGAUAGCUGCGCUCCCCUUCUAGAACCUCCAAACAAGCUCUAACAUCAAAUUCGGGGUUAGGGCAAAAUACAUUCCAAUAAGACCCCAUACUCUGAGAGGCUAUG
rnacentral:snRNA from 1 species